GACGAACGCUGGCGGCGUGCCUAAUACAUGCAAGUAGAACGCUGAAGAGAGGAGCUUGCUCUUCUUGGAUGAGUUGCGAACGGGUGAGUAACGCGUAGGUAACCUGCCUUGUAGCGGGGGAUAACUAUUGGAAACGAUGGCUAAUACCGCAUAACAAUAGGUGACACAUGUCAUUUAUUUGAAAGGGGCAACUGCUCCACUACAAGAUGGACCUGCGUUGUAUUAGCUAGUAGGUGAGGUAACGGCUCACCUAGGCGACGAUACAUAGCCGACCUGAGAGGGUGAUCGGCCACACUGGGACUGAGACACGGCCCAGACUCCUACGGGAGGCAGCAGUAGGGAAUCUUCGGCAAUGGGGGCAACCCUGACCGAGCAACGCCGCGUGAGUGAAGAAGGUUUUCGGAUCGUAAAGCUCUGUUGUAAGUCAAGAACGAGUGUGAGAGUGGAAAGUUCACACUGUGACGGUAGCUUACCAGAAAGGGACGGCUAACUACGUG
rnacentral:rRNA from 1 species